rnacentral:rRNA from 1 species
GACGUAGGGGGCAAGCGUUGUUCGGAAUUAUUGGGCGUAAAGCGCUCGUAGGCGGGACAGGAAGUUCGUGUUGAAAGACCUCGGCUCAACUGAGGGACCGGCUCGAAUACUCUUGUUCUUGAGGCAAUCAGAGGGUGAUGGAAUUCCCGGUGUAGCGGUGAAAUGCGUAGAUAUCAGGAGGAACACCGGUGGCGAAGGCGGUUCUCUGGGCCGAUACUGACGCUGAGGAGCGAAAGCGUGGGGAGCGAACAGG